GGCGGAGGGAAGCUCAUCGAUGGGGCUACGAACUGAGUGCAGCUCGUCACUCUCUGUCUAUGUCCCCUGGGAAGGUCUGAGACUGGGGCCAUCUAGCGGCCCUAACAGGGCCCUCCCCGAGCCCGGGGAGGUGAGUUCCCAGAGAACGGGGCUCCGUGCGAGGGCAGACUAGGCAGGAGAUGCCGCGGGCCCCAGCCGGUGGCCGGCGGAUGCCUCCUCGACC
rnacentral:sRNA from 1 species